GAGUGGGCUGAGGGGCAGGGACCAUGGGAGAGAAAAAUUGCUAAUUAUCUCGCUAGAAAAGCAAUGUGUUACGACGGUGGCCGGGGUCCCUGGAAGAUGCGGCUUUAGGCUGCACUGAAUUUGUCUGUCUGGUGUUUGUCUUAGUGUUUGUUGUCUUGGUGUUUGUCAAAAUGGGGCAGUCAUCGUCUGCUUCUGUGUGCUCCCCGCUGCAAUGUUUUCUUAAGAAUUUUCAGGACUUCAAGAAGAGAGCAGGAAACUACGGAUAUGAUCUUAAUGCUUUUGAUUUGCAGAGAUUCUGUGAACAGGAGUGGCCCACUUUCCAGGUAGAAGGGCAGGAGGUGAACUGCAGAACAGUGCAUAGACCACACGUCCAGCCCAGAGAUGGGGAAUUGCCUCCGAUCCCACAUCUCGGGGGAAAAAGUCAGGAGAGCUCGAAGACUCAGCCUCAUACAGAAACUGCCAAUAGGCAUUUAUGACCACAGAAGAGACGGCGAAGACAACGACCAGGAGAGUGUGAUCUGAUGGACCUUGUCCCUGGAAACGCCAUUCGGUGUCUGCCAUGCAUGCACCUGUUCCACGUGGCCCGCAUAGACGAGUGGCUGAUGAGCCGCACCACAUGUCCCUGCUGCAGGUGGCUGGUGCUUGUAACACGGCCGUCCUAGGAGACGGACUGCGCCAGGAGCGCUGGUGUGAUUUCCCGUGAAGCACCAUCUUUAGAGACUUUCAUCUUUUGCCACUGAGCCUAGCCAGGGAUUAGAAAUUAGGAUGAGACAUAAAGGUUUCCUUAAAAGAUCUAGACGUAUCUCUCUCCCUCUCUGUGAAAAUCAAAAAGUCAUUAAAAAUACCGUCUUAUUAUUGUUCCUGUACCCAGGAAUUGUGUGAUGUUACAGAAGCUCUACAUGUUUGUAUGGUGUGUGUUAAAGAUUAGGAAUAAGAUGUUUUCUAAAUAAAAAAAAUCUCAACCACCCAAA